UACAGAGGUCUCAAGCGUUGUUCGGAUUCAUUGGGCGUAAAGGGUGUGUAGGUGGCGCGCUAAGUCGGGUGUGAAAUUUCGGAGCUUAACUCCGAAACUGCAUUCGAUACUGGCGUGCUUGAGGACUGGAGAGGAGACUGGAAUUCAUGGUGUAGCAGUGAAAUGCGUAGAGAUCAUGAGGAAGACCAGUGGCGAAGGCGGGUCUCUGGACAGUUCCGUGACGCUGAGGCACGAAGGCCAGGGAGCAAACGGG
rnacentral:rRNA from 1 species